rnacentral:tRNA from 1 species
ACCUGGCUGGCUCAGUCGGUAGAGCAUAUGACUCUUGAUCUCAGGGUCACGAGUUCAAGCCCCAUGCUGGGUA